GAUUUACCGUAGGCUAGGGCAGAGCUUGUGGGACUCAAGCACUUUACAGUUUAACUCUGGAAGGGGGUAUGCAAGCAACCUUAGAGCUGUUCGUGGUUCUGUGAACCAUGCGGACCCUUAAAGAGCUGGAGAGACGGCUGAAGAGUAAGGGCCUUUACAGGAAGCGGAGGACUUGCCAAUGAAGAGCAUUUCCAGUGAGAGUUCUUGGAUCACAGCAUCAGCUACAUUUGGAAGCCUUUGUGUUCUGUUUGAAAACAUGUUUAGGGAGCACUGUAAACUUCUAUUGGCCAUUUACUCCAGUUUUUGAAAAAUUUGAGGAGCAAGUUUGGAGAGAACAGAGAAGAAAGUAUGCAAUUAAUGCAGGUCUGGAGUCUUAAGCAAGUUGAUCAGGACAUCACAGGGAACUUGCUUCUGUCAUGAUUUUGCCUAGAGCAGAAACUAUAGUCUUACUGAUUAAAAAAAAAAAAGUAAGCUGAUAAAUUUUCACUGUAGAAAUAAGGGGCAACUGGGAAAGUUCCUGAGAUUAUCUGUGUGAAGUUUAGCGUGCAUUAUAAAAAUAUUCUGUAGCUAUAAGAGCAAAAUUCCUGCUCUCAGCUAAAUCCUGAUCGAUUCUCCAGGAAGAGAGCAUGUUGCCAUGAUUCAUUUGUGCCUUACAUAGUCAUUCCUCUUCCAUUAUUAAUGUUGGUUGAUGGGCAUCAGAGCUCAUCCAUGUGUAGCUUGAACUAGACCUGAACAAGGGGUUGCUAUAUGCUUUCCUCUAACUAGCCUUAGAGUACUGUUCCCAGGGAGGAAGACCUUGCUGAGUGGAAUUCCUAAAUCAAGGUGAUUUUUCAGACAUCAGAGGUAAAAAGUAAAGAUGUCACACUUCAAAACAGGAAAAGAAAGAUGAAUGGAAGGGGAGGGCAGAAAUAGGAAUGGCUCAGUUGCUACUUGUCUUGUCAUCAGAAAAGUAUGCUCAUACUUGCCUCUUCACUGUGCAAGAUGGUCAGAGGCUGGGAAAGCUCUGUGACCUCCUAGGGGUGAGGGGCAGGCAGUUUACCCUGGCAAGUGCAGAAGUUGCUGGCAAUAGUCCCUCCCACAACCUCAACUGGCAAAGUCAAAAAAGUUCAAAUUUCUCUUAUACACCAGAGAGAAAAGCAGGCCCACUAUAAUGAGAUUAAUUUAUGUGCUGAACCCUCCCCCCCACUCCCCACUCCAAGGAAGUGGCAUGAGGAGGUGGGACCUUUGGUGGGUUUAGGAUCAUGAAGGAGGAGCCUCCUGAUGGGAUUAACACCUUUUGGAAAGAGAACCAGCUUUCCUCCUCUCUCACAUGCUCUGAGAAUAUAGCACACCACAACAGCAUCUGGUAACCAGGAAUCAGCCCUCACAGAAACCAGAAUUGCCAGCCAUUUGACUUUAGACUCAGCUUAUUUAUAAGCUGCUUUAAGUUUUUUUGUUACAGCAGCUCAAUUGGCCCAAAUAGACAAAAUUACACAUUGGCACGGAGUAAUAAUCUUAAAUUCCAGACCCAUAUGUUGAAAGAGCAUAUGGGAGACCCAGGGAAGGGUCUCCCAUAAUUCCUUUGAUGCAAGUAUUUAGGCGGGCGAAUACACUCAUACUUGUAGGAAGAAUUUUAGUUGAAGAACACCAGCACAAGCCUCCUACAUCUCUUUCAGAACCCGGCCCUUCUUUAAACAGCUGGAAACUUAUAAGACCAAAAUUUCCAUCACUUCACAAGAAUUUUAAAAAAGGUAUCUAGGGAUGAGUGUAUCAGAGGGAAUUCCUGUGUUUUUCCUGGUGCACGUGUCUUCAAAUUUCCCCCCUCUAUAGGACUGAUACUUAUAUUAUUGGCAACUGAUUCAUUUCUAUAAUACUGACUUGGAACCUUGGAACAAUCUAGUCAUCAGCCCCCUGUACCAGGGUCACAUGUUUUUGGAAGAAAAGAUUGAAGAUGGGUAGGAGAUUCAAAAGCAAAGGCAGGUUCUUUCUUUCAGUGUUGCUCCUGGAAAAGAAAGAUAGGAUAUGAGGGAAGGGGAGCACAGGAGGAUAUAAGGGCAGGUCCAGAACUGGCUCAGUAGUUAAGAACAAUUGUUGCUCCUGCACAGGACCCACGUUCAAUUCCCAGCGCUCAUGUAAGGUUGUUCACAAUUGCCUGUAACUCCGGCUUCAGAGACUCCAGCACCCUCUCCUGACUUCUGUUAUACAUGUGGGAAGUUGUGGGGGCCUGAGGAAAUAGGACAUCAAGGGACAUGGACCAAUUGUUGAGACUUAUGUACCUUCCUCAGAGUCCUGGACUCCUGAAUCGGAUCAAAGCCUCUUUCUGCACCUCUUUCCGUCACUUGCUCACUCUCACUCUUCUCCAUGGAGUCCCUUGCACCAAGGAGGACAUUGAUGUGGAUUUCUCUGAAAUCAUAUGUUUCCCACUUUCUCUGCAAACUGCACAGUUUGAAAAUGAACUAUGUCCAUACAAGCAAGGGAGAGAAGAGGAUUAUGUCCAUAAUUCCUGUUGCCACCUGUUUGCUGCAUAUGCUUUAAAAACUGUUGCAACCCUAUGGACAUGUCUCUCCUCUUACCCCUGUCCUGCCUCUUUGCUUAUUCUACCCAUCUUCAGUCCACCUUUCAGCAAAUCACCUAUUACAUUUUGUGUUUUCCCUAACGUCAGAAUGAAAUGUGAGAUUCGGGAUUGGGAGAUGGCUCUGUGGGCAAAGUAUUUGCCUUGGAAGUUUGAGGAUCUGAGUUCAGAUCUCCAGAACCACAUAAAAAAGGUGGGUGUAGUUGCUCAUGCUUGUAAUCCAUCCAUAACAAGAUGGAAGGUGGAGACAGCCAGAUCGCUAGAGUUUUCUAGCCACUCGCUUAGCACAGUUGGUGAGGUUCUGUAUCAGUGAUAGACUCUCCCUCAAACAAAAGGCAGAAAGCACCAGAGGCACAACACACUGAGGUUGUCAUCUGAGGAACAGCCAAGGUUAUUCUCCCAGAGUCAGUAGAUAUGGGCAUGCGUACACCCCCCCCCCAUACACACACACACAUACACACACACACAAAUGGGGCUGGAGUGAGAGGGCCAUUGUGGUCUUGGCUUGCCUUGCCAGUGGGAAGGGACAUACAAUGUAGAGUAGGGAUCAACAUUGUCCAGCAGGCCACCACUUACCUCCAUUCUUCUUUUCCUUGCUUCACCAUGUCUCUUCUCGCAGACGUACCAGUUGGCUGCUUCCAAGCAGAGCCCAGAAGCCUUUGGUGCAGGGGAGGUCUCCCUCUGCUCACACUGAGGCCAGUGAACACUCAUUUUUCUCCACCCCAGGAAUGCUUAUCCCACCCCAACUAUACAUAAAGGAAAAGGCACACACACAUGUUAUUAAAAUGAACUGUUUAUAUUAUCUCAGUUGAGUCAAUACAUUAUAAUGUAUUAAAAUGGAAAGGUACAAAAUUGAAAUAAAUACUUUCUGAUUCAUGUAUAAAUCUUUUUUUUUUUUGUCAAGAUGACUUUUAUCGUCAGUACAUGUCACAAUAAAACAUUUAAAAUGACACCAAAACAAUCUUUGAAAUCAUGGUGCAUGGAGGAAAAAAGUAAAGAAAACAAUUGUUGGCUUGUUUUGGCAUGAGACCUUGAUACAAUUUGGGUUCCCCAAAACCACGUGAAGGGUGAUAAAAUAGAAAUGCUCAAAACUGACUUAAAAAAAUAAACAGGCUUUACAAAAACCCUCUUUUUUUUUUUUUUUCUGAACCCAGCCACUUCUCUACACGGUCUGCACUUACAGUAGAUACAUUCAUUAUUGUCCAAGGGAAGACAGCCGCUGCCUUACACUUAAAGAGCUUGGUGGAGAGGCUGAAGGGAUACGCUGCAGCUGAAGGUGAGUAGAAUGUUCCAGAGAACAGAAAAGUCUAGAUGGUCUUCAGGAACAGCACUGAGCAUGAUGGGAUGAAGGGUCUCUGGGUGAGAGGUGGAGGUGGAGGACAGGGAGGAGUCCAGUUCUGAAGCAGUGGAGACCGAAAGAUGGAAUAGGGUUGGCGGUGGCCGCCGUGGGCAAUGGGGAUCUCUCAGCCUAAGCAGUCCUGGGUUUGUCCUCAGCCUGGAACACUGCUCUGUCAGUGAGAUGUGGGCCCUGGACUUUGGAGAGGGAGUGUGAUCUCCUUUCAGGCACAGCAGCAUGGGGGAGACAGGCAGGCUUCCAAGGGAUGCCAUGGGAGGGACUUCUCGCCUGGUUCUGACUGUUUGGUGGGUGGUCAUUAAGGCAAUAAGGAUUUUAGCAAACUAGAAGUUAAGGGCAGCUAAAUUUAGCCAGAUCAAAGGUAAACAAAAGGUGAGAAGGGGGCCCUUUCUCUUCAGCUACUUUCCCCAAGCUCAGCAAGCUUCAGCUCCUGGAGCACAGAUUUACAGUACACAAUAGCAGAGGGCUUGCCCUUUGGGAGGCUCCACGGAAAGAAGGCUCAUCCAAAACUUGGGGCAACUGUCCAGACUGCUUCCUGUGGUCACUUUCUGGUGAGUGGCAGGUGGAAGCACCAAGGUUUAUGCCAAAGUUAGGUCAAGACCCCAGCUCUCACCUUGCUGGUCUAUCUCAGUGGUCUUGAACGCCAUGCAUCCUGGAAAACCAGGCUAGAUGCUCGCCUGCACCAUAGGACCUCCACUCAGCUGGAGAGUGGGCACCCUCCCCUGAGCAGAUGCAAGGCUAUCUAUAAGGGCUGUGCAACUAUGGGGUCCCACAUGGCCUCUGGGGAGCGGACAAAAGCUCUCGUGACUUGAAUCUACUCAGAAAGGGACAUGCAGAAGAUAAAGGAGAGCAGAACUAUUUUCUUUCUCUAUGCUCCAGACAAAGGAGAUGAACCUACAAUGCUAUGGGAGGGGUGACCUCCAAGAGCUAUCUGUUUUUCUGGGCUAACCUCUGGUAAGAAGCUGGGUGGUCUGACUGAUAAGGCUCUGUAGUAGGAAAGGGGAUCUGGGACAGUUUCUGACAAAAUGUACAACUACCUACCCUUGCAUACUAACCAAGUAUGACCUGGAUAAAGCAGAUAGAACUCUCCCAUCCUCCAGCAUGAGACAGCAGGCCAGAAAAAGGCUCUUUAUGGGAUGCCUGGAGCCUGCAGGUAUAGCAGCUUGGAGAUGCUAGACUCAAAUUAUUUGGGAGCCCCUAACGGACCUUGGUGGAGAUGAGACACUUGCAGGAGAAAAAUACUGUAAUGACCAGCUAUUUGGGACUAGAUCCAUGUCUGGUCCCUCUGUGGUGGAUGCUGUCUUAUUUGGACCCUAAGAAAAGUGAGCAACAGGACUGCAAGAAUUUUAGUAAUAAGCCAGUGACAAAAACAUGUGGCAAGCAUGCUGUGGGGGAUAUGGACAAAACAAGAUUGGCAGCAAGUUUAGUGACCAAGCUAAAGAAGACAGGUGGAUGACUUCCUUGACUAGUCCUUCUUUAGCUCAUGAUUAAACCUGUCUUCUAAGUGAUACACAGUACAAAACAAAUCCUCUUUCCUUUCAAAGCCACUUGGGAAGGGGCUAUAGAGGAAAAACUAGAAUACAGCCAUUGUUCUACAGCCACCAGGACAGGGCAGUCACCGUCAUAGUUUUUAACCAGUGCCUGUUCUCCAGCUCUGCUCUUACCACACUGAGAAGCAGGCAACACUCUUCAGAACGUCUGCCAGCGAGCCAUAGGAACAUAGUAUUCAUGGCAAGACCCUUGUUGCUUUGCUAGCCUUGCAGGCAUCCUUCUGAGGAGCCAUCUUGGGGGUAGGGGUGGGGCAGCAACUCUGGGCUGGAGUGUUACUGUGCACAGUAUGCUUGCUCACCAGCCCUGCCUAUUCUUGGAAGAGUUUAAGAAUACAGGAACAAAAGAUCUACUCUAACAGUUCAGAAAGCAAAUUGUAACAGACAGAAUGGAAGGCUUUCUAUGAAUGCAGAGAGUGUACAUACACAAAGAUGACAAAAGCUUACAAUAACCCUGAUGGGAUAUAGGGAGGAGUCAUUUUUAGGAUAGGGAGAUUGUGAAAGAAUGUUUACAAAUUUGAUUGUUUCCUAGUUUUUUUUUUAAGAGAAAUAAUGGUAAUUGUCAUAUCAAUAUCAAUCAUAUUAAUUUCAGGGCUUAUGGUCCUAAUUUUGAGUGGUGGCAGCUCCUUUUCUCGAUGGAACAAGUUGGAUAUGUGGCUUACUGGCCAUAUAGAUUCACCUUUCUCUCACAGGGCCAUAAGAGGCCAUAGAAUUCAAGGAAGAAUCUUUAACCUUAACAUUUGACUCACACUUUGCAGGGGCUUGGGGCACAUCUCAGAGAACAAGUACCAAAGAUGUCUGGGGUCAUUUCUGGGCCUCUGGCUAAGGCACAGGCAUCUAUUCAGCUCACUGGGGGUGGGAGGAAGACUCGGGGAUAGGAAGUGGCCUCUUGGAAGCAGGCUUUAAAGGGCUAAGGCAGCAGUUCUUUGAAGGUAUAAAACCCUUUAAAAAUCUCCAACUCAGGAAUUUGAUCUCUUUCAAGAAACAGCCCCCAGUCUAACUGGAAUCAAAAACAUUUCUCUAUGCAGUAUAAAAAGCAAACAAAAACAAAACAAAACAAAAC